CGCCGCUGCUGCGGAUCCCCACGGACGAUGCAGACGCCGCCGAACAGAGCAGGGCGUGGUCGCGUUGCACUGAUUGGAGGAGACCGUGCCGGCCAUGCCCUGUUUGGAGGAUGAACACAGGUUCACCGCCAUGGCUAUGAGAGGACGCAUUUGUGGAAUCCCCUGCACGCAACGGACGGAUCGAUUGUUUGAGCGGGCGCAAGGAAAGAGAUCUGGGCCUGCUUGAGGGGGUGAGCUGACAUGGGAGACCCGAGCUGCUGUUCAUCUCCUGCUGCUGCUAUAUUGACCUCUACUUGAAGUCAGGAGCCAAAUUGAAGAUCAAAUUCAGCUUGGCUCAUCAACGGUCGUCAGCUCAUCGUCUUGGCGAUUGCGCGCAUAGCACGAGAUGGUCCGUGUAGGCGCAGCAGCAAGCAGGGGGCGAAUCGACCUAAUGCCAACAUAUGCAGCAGGCAGCCACCAGCCGGGUGAAUCCAUCUAAUGUAGCAGUAAGCAAGCAUUAUGUGCACAUGUAGCAGGAAGCUGCUCGUACAACAUUCAAUCAAGUUGCAUGGAGUAGCUAGCUAGCUUCACACACGAAUAUGCAUGUGUGUAUCCUUCGAGGGUAUUCAUCUAAUAAUAAUGGGGUUGGGAGGAGUAUUAUUCACUAAUGGGUUGGAUCAAACACUUAGUAUGCAUAGUAGUAAUUUUUUGCUUGCAGUUUUGGAAGGCGGGGUCGUGAUCUGUUUGGCCUCUAUGAGGCUCCGCCAGUGCUGGAUGGUGAGGAGUGGUGAUGUGUAGAGAAGAGAAGGGGCACCUUGCUUGAGAUAUCUCGAUGGGGAUUGGGUGCUGUUGCUACUGCUUUUUUUUUCUGAACGAGAUGUGGCGGCACCGAUAUGGUCUGAGCAGGGGAGCACGGCAAAAAUGCUAAUUGCUCCCUGACUCUCUUUCAUUUGAUUGCAGAAUAUUGUGCUUACUCCCAUCUCUCGCGCUC